rnacentral:tRNA from 1 species
UGGGCUGUAGCUCGGUGAGUAGAGUGUUUGCCUAGCAUGCACAAAGCCCUGGGUUUGAUCCCCAGCAUUGUAA